AGUGGUAUAUAUUUGAUCAAAAAAGAACAUGUUAAAUUUCAGCAGAAAACUGAAAAUCUAAGCCAAAGGAGAAGAAAGGAUUUUCUUUUAUUUGAAGAUGACAUUUAUGGUAACAUAAUCAUUGAUCAUCCAUUGAUUAUAAAAAUUGUACAAUCACGUCAAUUUCAAAGACUAAAAAAAAU